rnacentral:rRNA from 1 species
GAUCCUCCCACCCUUUGUGUACCUACCUCUGUUGCUUUGGCGGGCCGCGGUCCUCCGCGGCCGCCCCCCUCCCCGGGGGGUGGCCAGCGCCCGCCAGAGGACCAUCAAACUCCAGUCAGUAAACGAUGCAGUCUGAAAAACAUUUAAUAAACUAAAACUUUCAACAACGGAUCUCUUGGUUCUGGCAUCGAUGAAGAACGCAGCGAAAUGCGAUAAGUAAUGUGAAUUGCAGAAUUCAGUGAAUCAUCGAAUCUUUGAACGCACAUUGCGCCCUUUGGUAUUCCGAAGGGCAUGCCUGUUCGAGCGUCAUUACAACCCUCAAGCUCUGCUUGGUAUUGGGCACCGUCCUUUGCGGGCGCGCCUCAAAGACCUCGGCGGUGGCGUCUUGCCUCAAGCGUAGUAGAACAUACAUCUCGCUUCGGAGCGCAGGGCGUCGCCCGCCGGACGAACCUUCUGAACUUUUCUCAAGGUUGACCUCGGAUCAGGUAGGGAUACCCGCUGAAUUAA